GUGCGUACGUGCGUCGUCUCUAUGGUGGCGGCGGAUUUGGAGGGACCCUACGAACCAGGAGUCAGGCGAGCCGAUCUGGGGCUGCAGGAUGUUCCGCUGGGAGCGCUCCAUUCCCCUGCGAGGCUCGGCCGCCGCCCUGUGCAACAACCUCAGUGUGCUGCAGCUGCCGGCUCGCAACCUCACGUAUUUUGGCGUGGUUCAUGGACCAAGCGCCCAGCUUCUCAGCGCUGCUCCUGAGGGUGUGCCCUUGGCCCAGCGCCAGCUCCACGCUAAGGAGGGUGCUGGAGUGAGUCCCCCACUUAUCACUCAGGUCCACUGGUGUGUCCUCCCCUUCCGAGUGCUGCUGGUACUCACCUCACAUCGAGGAAUACAGAUGUACGAGUCCAAUGGCUACACCAUGGUCUACUGGCAUGCACUGGACUCUGGAGAUGCCUCCCCAGGUACCUGCAGGACCAAGUGGGGUGGGGGCAGGGAGUGUUUGCUAGGGCUGCAGGAGGGGAUAUUUCUGAUCAUUCUCCCCUUUCAUAUUCAGUACAGGCUGUGUUUGCCCGGGGAAUUGCUGC
rnacentral:sRNA from 1 species